GGCUCAAGAAGGAGGAAGUCAAGGUGGAGAUCGAGGACGAUCGGGUGCUCCAGAUAAGCGGCGAGAGGAACGUGGAGAAGGAGGACAAGAACGACACCUGGCACCGGGUGGAGAGGAGCAGCGGGAAGUUCAUGAGGAGGUUCAGGGUGCCGGAGAACGCGAGGAUGGAUCAGGUGAAGGCCUCGAUGGAGAAUGGGGUGCUCACCAUCACUGUUCCCAAGGUGGAGGAGAAGAAGCCUGAGGUCAAGGCCAUCGAGAUCUCCGGUUGAGAGUCGGUGAAUCUAUGGUCCGCGUUGCGACUUGUGUCUAUAUAGAGAGCAAGUAUGCUGUGUUAUGUGUCGGUUGGGAGGCUUGGUCCCAUGGUGUCUGAUAUAGCGAUAUGCUGUCCUACAAUGACUCUUUACUUGUAAUGAAAUUCGAAGUUACUAUUUCCUAACUGCUGUGUGAGGUGAUAUUGGUUCCUCAAAAGUUUUUUGAUUGUGUUUUGUUCGUGGGACGUUCCUUAUUUUUAUUUGCACACUGCUUCUGGGAGUUCAAUUAGUUUCAUUACUUUUGGAUGAUUAUUUCAAUUUCUGGGAAGGAUUUCUCCAAAGUGGAGGGGACGUACUUUGCAUGUUGUGAUCGUUUUUUAAGUUGGGUUUGGAGGUACCUGCAAUAUGGAGAAGCUGAUAAGUUUGGGAUGAAAACAAGCUAGAAACCACAUUGCUCCCUUUGGACUCAGUGCAAGGUUUGGGGUUCCUUCUGCUGCAUUGUAUCAAAUUUGUCAGGUAACAGGAUAAAAUAUUUGAUGUGGCCUUCAAUUUCUGUUCCAUCAUCAUCAGAUCAGAGAGAAAUGAUCAGAUUCACUGGUUCCUAUAUUGAGGCGUGCGAAGUAUCGCCUUUUCCGAUGCUCAUGUUGAUUUGGUCUUUUAAAAGCCGCGGCUCUCAGCCUCAUCUCUGUCCCUUCCUCGCCAACCGUCAGCCUUCUCACAGCUUGCUCCAUCUCUUUCUGGUCUAGACCACACUCUAACUCCAAUCCCACCAUCCGAACGUGGCGCGAGUACCUCACCUUAGCAUUCUGGUCCCUGAAGCACGAUGGGCUUAUCAUUGGGACUCCUUCGGAAAUUAUUUCCAAGGUCGAAUUCCAUCUGCAAUAAGUCCAAAAGCUUCCUGUGGCACGUUGUGCUAAAACUUCCUCUUGCAGAGCCCAUCGUGCAACACGGCCAGUUUCCUCGUUGGCUUCUUCGAACCCUUCUGGUAAUAGCUCGAUCCACUCUGAGCCUCUGUCUGAGCUAGGCCGGAUCAGCCACAAGAACGCUGCUGUUCGCCAACCCCCAAGCCAAUUCUACAAGCUUUCCCUGAUUCAUUGAAGCCAAGCUUCCUACGCUCACAUAAAUAACUCAGGUAAAUUUGUAUGUAGAUUAAAAAAAGUCUAUUUAUGACUUUAAGCAAGUUUCUAGAUAAUGGUAUUUAAAGUUUCAUAAUGUUGUCAAAUAUAAAGUAGAUCAGUGUAUAUACCGUAUAUAUUUUUCUUGUACUUUAUGUAGAUGAUAUGUUACUUACGAGUAAUAAUAUUAGAUUACUGCAUGCAUGAGACAAAGUGGAUGUUAUCAAAAAAUUUUAACGUGAAAGACUUGUCUUUUGUUCUUGGCAUUGAGGUCUAUAUGGAUUGUUCUCGUUGUUAAUUGGGUUUGUCUUAGAGGACAUAUGUUGAUCGUAUUUUAGAAAGAUUCAAUAUGCAGCAUUGCAAUCCAGGGUGAUAAAUUGAGUCUUUUAAAAUAUCCUAAUUCAGAUUUUGAAAAAGCUCAAAUGAAUGAUGUAUCUUAUGCUAGUGUGCUUGGAAAUAUUAUGUAUGUUCAAGUUUGCAUUAAACCAUAUAUUACUUUUGCGAUAGGAUUUCUAGGCAGAUAUUAGUCAAAUCUAGGAUGUGAUCAUUAGUGUUGGAGAAAUCUUUCCAGAAUAUUUUGAAACUGACAAAACAUUUCUAUCAGUCUAAGUCUGGAUAUCGAUAGUUAAAGUCUCAAGACUUUAUAGUCUCAAGACUUUGUAAUCUCAAGACUCAAGACUCAAGACUCAAGACUCAAAAACAUUCUCACUAACAGUCUUUCUAAUCCAGUGUUGAAGGAAAUCCAAAGCCGAGGUUUAUGGUUGAGGAUUUGAUCCUAUCCUCUGGAAUAGAUUCUUUGGUUGGAUAAUCAUUUCGGAUUCUUUAAUUCUUAUCUAAGAUCGAUUGAAGAUCCGAUGGUCGACGAAAUAAUCUUGGAUUAUUCUAUUCUUGGAAACCGAGAUCCUGAUUGUAUGGGCGAACAGGAUUGAUGGGCUAUCAUCAGAUUCCUUAAAUAGCUCGGAUGAUCUUCUUGAUUGAUUCCGUCCAACGGGUAGAUUGGAGGAAUUCCUUUGGUAAGUGCCAACGGCUAUGAUGGCAUGAAGGAGUAUAAAAGGAAGACGUUCUAGUUGUCUUAAGUGUGUGAUCGAUAGAAAAAUUCCAGAGUCUUAAGAUCCUUGAUUGUUAGUUGAGACUGAGCGAAAUUGUAUACAGAGAGUGUUUAUACUUGGUGACGCCUUGAGUGAGUGUGGUAGAUCAUCUACACCUAGAAAUCAAGGAAGAUCAACACUGUAACAACUCUUUGAUCAUAGUGGAAUCCAGCCAAUCGGCUGUCAGUGCAGAAGAGUGGACGUAGGCUUGAAUCAAGCCGAACCACUAUAAACCGAGUGUUCAAUUCUCUCUUUCCCUUACUCAGUCUUGCGAUUGAAUUUUUAACUGUUGCAAAUUCUCUAAUUGUUUAAAUAUCGUGCAAGCUUCGAGAAAGUUUUUGUAUACCUAUUCACCCCCCCUCUAGGUACUCGUACUAGCUAUUUCAAUUAGGUCGUUGCCAAGAAAAUUUUAAGGUACUUAAAUAGGACAAUAAAUUAUAUGCUGAUUUAUAGACAUGUUCCGGAUUUACAGCUAAUAGGGUAUUCGGAUGCAGAUUAUGAUGAUUGUCAAGAUGAUAUGAAAUCGACGACAAAAUACAUAUUUAUGUUGGCAGGAGAUGUAGAAAUCUAUAUAUUCUUCUAUCAUGCAAGCAGAGUUUAUAGCAUGUUUUUCAGCUGUUACUCAAGCUAUUUAGCUCCAGAACCUUAUUAGGGAGUUAACUGUUUUUUAUUUUGUAGAUAGGCCUAUAUAGUUAUAUUGUAACAAUAACUCUGCAUUGUUGUUUAUUAAUAAUAAUAGAAGUCUUAAGAAGUCUAAACACAUGAAGGUCAAGUUUAUGACGAUAAAUGAAUCAGUACAGAAUGAUGACGUUGCAGUAGAUCAUAUUCCUACAGAUGAUAUGAUUGUAAAUCCAUUAACUAAAGGCCUAUGCUCUUGUGUGUUUGAGCGGUAUGUCAUUAGCAUGGGUUUAGGAGCAUUUUUGGAUGCUGUUAUUUAGUGAGAGCUGUUUUUAUUUUUCUUUUAAUAAAGUUUAUAUUUGUGUUUGUUACAUUUAGUAGUGUUUUGAUAUAUACCAACGUUUACAUUCAAUAAAAUAUUUUUAAAUGAAUUGAUAUUAUGUUUAAUAUAUAUUGAUAAAAGUUUCAAUGUAUUGUAUAAACUUUAAGUGAAUGUUAAGGGCAUCCGUUAUUAGCCUUGAGCAUAUGUUUUAUUACACAUAAAGAAAUAUUAAUUGUAAAGAUAAGGCAUAUGUGGGUUCACUAAAAUCAUAAAAAUAUUUUUUAAUGGCAUAGGUUUUUGUGACACUUAAGGUAAGAGAAUGAUGAUUGACAAAUAGGAUCUCUUUAUUAGAGAUGUUAUCCAUUUACCACACUACCAUAUUAAAUCUAUAUCAAUAAAGUUGAAAGUACUCGUGACCAUGAAAGGUUUUUUGUGUAUACAUGCAGUUCCUAUUAUGAUUUGGUGUUUGAGACUUUAUAGGAUGUGAUUGAUUAUUAAGAAUUAUCUCUAAACUAAUGUGCGCACAUACAGUACAAUUUCAAUUAAUAUAACUCAAGUGGAAGAAGAUAAAAGUUUUCAUAAUGUGGGUUACAUUAAUUAAUAUUAUAAUUUACCGUUUUAUGAGAUUGGUCUAAAGUGAGAUAUAAAGUUUAUUAAUUAAUCUAAUAUGGGGUUGGUUAGUGUGGGUCAAGUUGAACUUGACCUGUAAUGAGAUGGUUUAGUUGGAACAUUAUAAAUAGUGCUCAAGUCUCUUCUCUAACCAUAAUUUUUAUAAUUAUCCUCAUAAAUGAGCAUUUACCUAACACAAAAGAGUGAGGGGGCCGUCUUUUUGAGUCAAUGAUAUAAAGGGCAAUAGAGGAUAAUGACUUGUAUUUGAAUCAUCGCUUUUUUGCUUUCGCAUCAAGAGUGAUGAAUUCCAAAACAAGUGCGUUAAUAUUUCUACUUGAUUAUAUGUGUUCUUGUUCUAGUUAUGGAGAUCAUAGGUUACGCAUUUUAACGUCUAACAUCCCUCUCUGAAGUCUAGAUCUAAAUUUGGGUCGCCCGUCAAAUGCUCCGUCGAGGGUUGUUAGGGGCGGUCGAGGAUCUAGAAGAGCAUGUCUGAGGUCUAGGUUGGCAUGGGUCUAGGUUGCUAGUCUAAUGCUCCACUGAAUGUUGCGCAAGGUUUGUUGACGAUGGCUAAGGCUGUACGAUGGUUUGGGUUUGUUUGUUUGGGUUGAUGAUUGUGUGUUUAGAUCACCUAUCUGAUGCUCUAUCGAGGGUCGUCAAGGGUGGCCAAGGAUCUCCAAGGAUCUGGGUUGACGAUCGAGUAGUCUGGGUCGUCAAGGUCAUGCGACCCUCAGGGUCUUCUAGCUUAGGCUACCCGAGGUUGCUUCACCCUAUGUAGCAUGGAUACUCUCCAGAAGCCUUUGUGUCGUGUCCGACAUUCCGACACGUGUCCGACACGUUCCGACACGCUCCGACACACAGUUAACGAGUGUCGAAAAAUCCGACACGUGGCCAACUCUCUCCGACACGCGAAUCCAGAAUUUCGACACGCACGGGGUCAAUUUUAAAAAUUUCUAAUACUUGAGGGGUCAAAAUAUAAAUAUAUAUAAAAGAAGUAAUAAAAGAAGUAAUAAAAUUGCUAUAAAUAUACACACACGGGGUCAAUAUUUUUUUUUUCAGUUUUGUUUUUUUUAGAAUUGUUUUAUUUUUUUAAAAGUCUUUUACUAUGAAGAAGUAAUAAAAAAUGCUAUAUAUGAUAAAUAAAUAAAUUUAAAAAUAUCAUUUCAGCAUUUUUCUUUAAACAAUGUUUUUUUUCUCUAUGUUUUGUGUAUUAUUGUAACAAAUUAAAAUAAUGAAUGAUAUUAUUUAAUAUUUUUCGUGUAAAUUAAUUCUAAGCUAUUAUUAUUAUUAUUAUUUAUGUAUUAUAUAUAAAAAUAUAUUUAAUAUAUAACGUGUCGGAACGUGUCGAAAUUCUCUAUUUUUAAGAAAUAUCGUGUCGGCGUGUCAUGUCAUGUCGUAUCGUAUGUCGCAUGUCCGUGUUGGUGCUACAUAGGCUUCACCUCGGUGUUACCUUGCAUGACCUCUUUGACAAGUCAAUUGCCGCUGGCAUUCAAUUUGCCUUCCAAGUUUGCUCCCAAGAUGAGAUAUCUCUACUCUUCAGUAGUUAUAUACUUUAUUUUUUUUUUCCUUCUUUUUUCUACCUUCAAAGUUACAUUGCAAAAAUAUCAUGAAAGUCACUUAACCAAACAAUAUUUACUUUGAGUCAAAGAUUUAUGGGGCAAUGACUUUGCAUUCUCUCAAAACUCUCCCAAACACGCAUUCUAAGUUAAAAGUGAUUGGUUUUAAGGUGGGUAGAUUUUAGACCUAGAAUCUGAAAUCUAAUCUAUUAGAACCGAUUUCCAGUUUUUGGAACCUAAAACCUAUCUCGUAUGUCUUGGAACCUGUCAUUCUUUUGUUCCUUUUUUUAGGUUCACUUUUUAUAGCAAAAUGAUAUAAGUAAUAAAAUGGUUCAAAGUAAAAGAUGACUGAGGGUGAAGGAGCAAAGGUGAGUUAGGAACGAGCGAGGGUGAGCCGUGAGUGAGCGAGGAGGAGGGUGAGUGCCAGCAAGCGAGAGAGAAUUGCGAAAUGUUUGAGUAAGGUUGAAGAGAACAGAAAAAAAGAGAGAGAGAGAAAAAUAUGUUAAGAGAAAAACUGGGGUUUCUAAACUUUAUGAAACUUGUACCAAAUUUGAUCCGAUGACAUAUGGUUCUUCAGUCGAAAUUGCAAACAAGAUUGGUUCCAACGACUAAUGAUCUGGUUCUCGAAUAGAACCGGCCCGACAGCAGAGCCCUACUAACAAACCCGAGUGUCGCAAAAAUCCUAGUGUCGUAACGUCAUCGGCUUAGUAUCUGCCUAGUAUGAGAUGAUUAUAUUUUUUUAGCAAGAGGAACUCCUUGAAUCGCAUCUUUUAAUUAGUGGCAAAUAAACUUCAUUUAUAUUCAUGAUUUAGGAUCCAUCGAUUUUAAUUGGACAAAAUCUUAUUUAAUCAAGAAUAGAGGAAAUUAAGGGCGAUAGCAAAAUAGAAAUAGAAUUCAUCAUCAUCGUAAUGUGACGGACAAGUGUUUCCAGAUGGACCUACGGGAUUCGCCAUUUCUCUCGAACGUUCGUCCACCGACACUCAGAAAGACCGCGAAGGUACGAGAAUGAUUCUCUCUUUCCUAUUUAACUCCCACCUUGUCUUCCAGGCUCCCUCGUCAAACGGUAGCAAUUCUCAUCAUCUAUCUCAAGCAUUCUAUCGAACACUUUCUCCGCUCAGUCUCGCAUUUUCACCGGUAAACCCAACAACCAUGUCACUCAUCCCAAGCUGGUUCGGCGGCCGCCGCAGCAACGUCUUCGACCCUUUCUCCCUCGACCUCUGGGACCCCUUCAAGGACUUCCCUUUCCCUUCCUCCUCCCUUUCCGCCUCUAAUUUCCCUCAAACCAUCCGAGAAAAUACUGCUUUCGUGAACACGAGGAUCGACUGGAAGGAGACCCCGGAAGCCCACGUGUUCAAGGCGGAUCUCCCCGGGCUCAAGAAGGAGGAGGUCAAGGUGCAGAUCGAGGACGAUCGGGUGCUCCAGAUAAGCGGCGAGAGGAACGUGGAGAAGGAGGACAAGAACGACACGUGGCACCGGGUGGAGAGGAGCAGCGGGAAAUUCAUGAGGAGGUUCAGGUUGCCCGAGAACGCGAGGAUGGAUCAGUGAAAGGCGUCGAUGGAGAACGGGGUGCUCACCGUCAGUGUUCCCAAGGUGAGGAGAAGAAGCCUGAGGUCAAGGCCAUCGAGAUCUCCAGUUGAGAGUCGGUGAUCUAUGGUUUUCGUUGCGACUGUGUCUAUAUAUAGAGCAAAUAUGCUAUGUUAUGUGUGGAUUGGGAGGCUCGGUCCCAUGGUCUCUGAUAUGGCGAUAUGUUGUCCGACGAUGACUCUUUAGUUGUAAUAAAAUUCUAAGUUACUAUUUCCUAACUUCUGUUGAGGUGAUAUUGGUUCCUCAAAAGUCUUUUGAUUGUGUUUUGUUCGUGGGACGCUGCUUAUUUUGAUUUCCAUACUGCUUCCGGGAGUUCAAUUAGUUUCAUUAUGUUUGGAUGAUUAAUUCAAUUUCUGGGAA
rnacentral:lncRNA from 1 species